CAGGUCGAAAAAGGAUGGAAUUUUUGGAUGUUUGUUUUCACGUGGAUGGAGAGGGCGAGAUCACUUCAGACCUAUUUAGAAAACACACUUCGGUCAAUACCCUGUUGCACGCUGAAUCAUCACAUCCAGGCUCAGGAACUGCGACAGAGAGGUUAUGGCGCAUGAUGCAUUGAAGCAGGAUACCAAAGGGUGCGUCAACCCAAUAGAUCAGACCUACUCUAUAAAAAUGAAAGGAUCACUGGCUAUUAAUACACGUUGGAAGGAGAAGGCUACAACAGGGAUCGCUGGGUGUCUCUCAUUCAUGGAGGCCGAUGACGGUUGGCGAUAUCAAAGACAUGGGGAUCCAGGGUUUAGUGUACAGGUGUAUAAUAGCAUUAUAAUAUGG